rnacentral:rRNA from 1 species
CCUACGGGUGGCAGCAGUGGGGAAUAUUGCACAAUGGGGGAAACCCUGAUGCAGCGACGCAGCGUGAGUGAAGAAGUAAUUCGUGAUGUAAAGCUCUAUCAGCAGGGAAGAAAAUGACGGUACCUGAGAAAGAAGCCCCGGCUAACUACGUGCCAGCAGCCGCGGUAAUACGGAGGGGGCAAGCGUUAUCCGGAGUUACGGGGUGUAAAGGGAGCGUAGACGGCAGUGCAAGUCUGGAGUGAAAGGCGGGGGCUCAACCCCCGGACUGCUCUGGAAACUGUACGGCUGGAGUGCAGGAGAGGUCAGUGGACUUCCUCGUGUCGCCGUUAAAUGCGUAGAUAUUAGGAG